GGAUUAGGCAUGCAAGUCGAACGAGGAUAUACCUUUCGGGGUAUAAACCGAGUGGCGCAAGGGUGAGUAAUGCAUAGAUUACCUGCCUCUAGGAUAAGGACAACUUUGUGAAAACGAAGCUAAUACUUAAUAAUACAAGAGAGAAUAAUUCUUUUUUGUCAAUGGGAGGGUAGCAAUACCUUUUGCCUAGAGAGGGGUUUAUGUCCUAUCAGCUUGUUGGUGGGGUAAUGGCCUACCAAGGCGAAGACGGGUAGCCGGUCUUAGAGGAUGGUCGGCCACACUGGGACUGAGACACUGCCCAGACUUCUACGGAAGGCUGCAGUCGAGAAUCUUUCGCAAUGCCCGAAAGGGUGACGAAGCGACGCCGCGUGAGUGAGGAAGGCCUUCGGGUUGUAAAGCUCUGUCAGGUGUUAAGAAAUAUAAGUGUGCUAAUACCACAUUUAUUUGACAAAGGCGCCAAAGGAAGCCACGGCUAACUCUGUGCCAGCAGCCGCGGUAAUACAGAGGUGGCAAGCGUUGUUCGGAAUUAUUGGGCGUAAAGAGCACGUAGGUGGGUUCGUAAGUCAGAUGUGAAAGCCUUCUGUUCAACGGAAGAAUUGCAUCUGAAACUGCGAGUCUUGAGUGUAGGAGGGGAGAAUGGAACUUCUGGUGGAGCGGUGAAAUGCGUAGAUAUCAGAAGGAACGCCGGCGGCGAAAGCGAUUCUCUGGCCUAUUACUGACACUCAGUGUGCGAAAGCUAGGGGAGCAAACGGGAUUAGAUACCCCGGUAGUCCUAGCUGUAAACGAUGGGCACUAAGUAGAGGGAAUUACCGAUGUUCUCUCUGCCGUAGCUAACGCAUUAAGUGCCCCGCCUGGGGAGUACGGCCGCAAGGCUAAAACUCAAAAGAAUUGACGGGGGCUCGCACAAGCGGUGGAGCAUGUGGCUUAAUUCGAUGCAACGCGAAAAACCUUACCGGGGCUUGACAUGGUAGAAGUAGGAACCCGAAAGGGUAACGAACGGUAUCCAGUCCGUAGCUAUCACAGGUGUUGCAUGGCUGUCGUCAGCUCGUGUCGUGAGACGUUGGGUUAAGUCCCCUAACGAGCGAAACCCUUGUUUUUAGUUACCAGCGGGUUAUGCCGGGUACUCUAGAAAGACUGCCGUCGUCAAGACGGAGGAAGGUGGGGAUGACGUCAAGUCAUCAUGGCCCUUAUGCCCCGGGCUGCACACGUGCUACAAUGGUCGGUACAAACGGAAGCGAAGCCGAGAGGUGGAGCGAAUCCUAAAAAGCCGAUCUCAGUUCGGAUUGGAGGCUGAAAUUCGCCUCCAUGAAGUUGGAAUCGCUAGUAAUCGCGGAUCAGCAUUGCCGCGGUGAAUAUGUCCCCGAGCCUUGUACACACCGCCCGU
rnacentral:rRNA from 1 species